GACGAACGCUGGCGGCGUGCUUAACACAUGCAAGUCGAACGGAAAGGCCCUGCUUUUGUGGGGUGCUCGAGUGGCGAACGGGUGAGUAACACGUGAGUAACCUGCCCUUGACUUUGGGAUAACUUCAGGAAACUGGGGCUAAUACCGGAUAGGAGCUCCUGCUGCAUGGUGGGGGCUGGAAAGUUUCGGCGGUUGGGGAUGGACUCGCGGCUUAUCAGCUUGUUGGUGGGGUAGUGGCUUACCAAGGCUUUGACGGGUAGCCGGCCUGAGAGGGUGACCGGCCACAUUGGGACUGAGAUACGGCCCAGACUCCUACGGGAGGCAGCAGUGGGGAAUAUUGCACAAUGGGCGGAAGCCUGAUGCAGCAACGCCGCGUGCGGGAUGACGGCCUUCGGGUUGUAAACCGCUUUCGCCUGUGACGAAGCGUGAGUGACGGUAAUGGGUAAAGAAGCACCGGCGAACUACGU
rnacentral:rRNA from 1 species